AUGCUAGAUCUAUUUUAUUUUGUUAAGGAGAAAGGGAUGCCUUGAUUGUCGUAUUGAUUUUCUUCUUCUUUUUGUUCCAAAAGAUUGAAACUGAAGAGCUGGAAGGAGGACAUUACAACAUCUCUUAUAUUUGCAAGAUGAAGCAGAAAGUCCCAUGCAGGAUGAUGCCUCUCUACAGUGGAUGAUGAAGGCAUUCUGGUUUGCAAACUCGGGAGAGGAACAAAGAACAGAUGUUGACGGGAUCAUAUCUAGAGAUGCGGGUCUACUACACUUCAUACGAGCAAGUGUGCUAAUAUACAUGAAGACUUGGGUUAUAUUUUUUUCUGAAAACUAGGCUACAACUUUAGUGAUGGAUGCAGAAGAUAUCUACACGAGACUACGUCUUAAAGAUGCCACCCUCAUAUAAUGAAAGGGACAAUAGAGAUGGGUUUA
rnacentral:lncRNA from 1 species